rnacentral:rRNA from 1 species
CCUACGGGUGGCAGCAGUGAGGAAUAUUGGUCAAUGGGCGAGAGCCUGAACCAGCCAAGUCGCGUGAGGGAGUACUGCCCUAUGGGUUGUAAACCUCUUUUGUCGGGGAGCAAAAGCCGGACGUGUCCGGCUGUGAGAGUUCCCGAAGAAAAAGCAUCGGCUAACUCCGUGCCAGCAGCCGCGGUAAUACGGAGGAUGCGAGCGUUAUCCGGAUUUAUUGGGUUUAAAGGGUGCGCAGGCGGAUUAUUAAGUCAGCGGUAAAAUCGUGGGGCUCAACCCCAUCCAGCCGUUGAAACUGGGGAUCUAGAGUGUGCGAGAGGUAUGCGGAAUGCGUGGUGUAGCGGUGAAAUGCAUAGAUAUCACGCAGAACCCCGAUUGCGAAGGCAGCAUACCGGUGCACAACUGACGCUCAGGCACGAAAGCGUGGGUAUCGAACAGGAUUAGAUACCCGUGUAGUC